AGGAACAAGACAGUCCAUGGAAGCACAGGCCUGAGGAGCAGAGAUCUCUAUAUAAGAAAGCCCACUCUCCAUUUACAGGCAGGGCACUGGAAGCAUUCCUUCUUUGGCCAUUGCUAAGAGUAGCUAAGGAGUAAGGUUGGGGUAGUCAUACAACAGAAGAGAAACAGAGGAAAGGAACUAAAUCCCCACCCCCCCACCAUGUUUGGCCAUUGCUACGGUUAACUAAGGCAUAAGAUCUCAUCAGCAAGUUGUGUCUCUGGCCUCUGAAACAGCACCCCUUGGAGCCACACUGACUCUAGAACUUAACCCCCAAACUGAGCCAUUCUUACGGAUAAGAAGAUGCCCUCAUUGAUCACUUCAGGACAGAAAGGAUAAACCCGGACAUAGGUCACCAGAAUCGCAGCCACCCCUUCCCUCCUGUCCUCCACCAUCUCCUUACAUCUCCUGACAUCUUAGAAAUAAAAACCUGUACACAACUCUA